AGGGCAAGUCUGGUGCCAGCAGCCGCGGUAAUUCCAGCUCCAAUAGCGUAUAUUAAAGUUGUUGCAGUUAAAAAGCUCGUAGUUGAAUUUCGGGAUCAAUCUAUCGGUCGUGCAAUAGUACGUACUGAUUUUAUUGAUUCCUCCCUUCUGAUGAACUAUGAUGUCAUUAAUUUGGUGUCAUAGGGAAUCAGGACUGUUACUUUGAAAAAAUUAGAGUGUUUAAAGCAGGCUCACGCUUGAAUACAUUAGCAUGGAAUAACGAAAUAGGACGUUUGAUUCUAUUUUGUUGGUUUCUAGGAUCGACGUAAUGAUUAAUAGGGAUAGUUGGGGGCAUUAGUAUUCAAUUGUCAGAGGUGAAAUUCUUGGAUUUAUUGAAGACUAACUACUGCGAAAGCAUUUGCCAAGGAUGUUUUCAUUAAUCAAGAACGAAAGUUAGGGGAUCGAAGACGAUCAGAUACCGUCGUAGUCUUAACCAUAAACUAUGCCGACUAGGGAUCGGAUGAUGUUAAUUUUUUAAUGACUCAUUCGGCGCCUUACGGGAA
rnacentral:rRNA from 1 species